ACCAGAGUCUCCCUGGUGCAACUUGAAGCCAUUCCCUCUAGUUCUAUUACUAGUUACAUGGGAGAAGAGGCUCAGCCCCACCUCACCACAACCUCUCUUCAGGUAGCUGUAGAGAGUGAUAAGGUCUCCCCUGAGAAUUCUCUUUUCCAGCAUAAAUAAUUCCAGUUUCCUCAGCUGAUCCUCAUAAGGUUUGCACUUCAGACCCCUCAAUAGCUUCAUUGCCCUUCUCUGGACAUGCUCCAGGGCAUUGAUGUCUUUCUUGUAGUGAGAAGCCCAAGUACUCUAGGGGUGGCCUCACAAGGGCUAAAUACAGAGGGGCUCUGUAGAGUCUUCGUAUCUGCACGCAGAUUCCCAACUUGGUGUCAUCUGCAAACUGAUUGAGGGUGAACUCAAUCUCCUCAUCCAGGUCAUUAUUAAAGAUAGUGAACAGGACGGGCACCAAUACCAAUUCCUGGGGAACACCACUUGUGACCAAUUGUCAGUUGGAUUUAACUUCAUUCACCAUCACUCCCUGGGCACGGCCCUCCAGCCAGUUCUUUACCCAGCAAAGAGUACCUGUCCAAGCCAUGGGUUGCCAGCUUCCCCAGGAGACUUCUGUGGGAGACAGUGUCAAAGGCUUUGCUAAAGUCUAGGUAGACUACAUCAACAGCCUUUCCCUCACCCACCAAGCAGGUCACUUGAUCAUAGAAGGAGAUUGGGUCGGUCAAGCCUAGUCACAUCCUUCAUGAACCCUUGUUGGCUACUCCUGAUCCCCCAGCUGUCCCACUGGGACAAUCCUCUGGGACCUUGCCGGUUGAACAGGAAUGCUGAUAGAUGAUGGAAAGCACCUUGGCAACCACCUCCACCAGCUCCCUCAGCACCCUCAGACAGAUCCCAUCCAGCCCCAUGGACUUGUGGCAGUCCACGUGGAGUAGUAGGUCUCUGUUUCUACCUGAAUCAUGAGGGGUUUAUUCUGCUCCCCAUCUGAGACUUCCAGGUCAGAGGGUAGAGUAUCCCAAGGAGUCAUUCCUCAGGUCAGUUCUUCAUACGAAAAGCAGAGUUCACAGUUCUAGUGAUUGAUUCACAGACUAAUGCUAUUUUGCUUAACUGUUAGUUUGGAUAUAAUGCUGAUGGCCUUUGGACUAGCACCCUAUCAGAAACGUUGCAAUAUGACUCAUUAAUAUAGCAAAGCCAAGAGUGUUCCAAGAAACACUUUCAGUCCAUAAGUAGAGAAUGGCAUUUCUGUAGAUUCACAGCAGAGUGUGAAGGAUUGGAAGGGAUUAGCAAAAGCCUCUAGUCCACUUUCCUGAUCAAAACAGGUCCUACUAGAGCAGACUGUUGUAAGAGGUCACUCUUUUACGCCAUUGCCUCAAAGCUUGCUGAGGGACAAGAUGAACAAUUUCAAGCAAGUCCUGACCAAGGAUUGGGAAAUUCUUUGUCUGAAGGGACAACAGAUGGACAAGGCCAGGGGCAACGAGAGAGAGAUAAGUGGCAACUAAAUGGCCAGGAAACAGUCUUUUGUGUGGACUUAUCUCAAGGGAGACAGCCAUCUCAGGGGGUGCUCACAUGACUCUUACCAAGAGCCCAGGAAUGUCACGUAGGCAGGGAAGGAGGAUAAAAGAAGCUCCAAAAAACCAUGAAGGCAGGUUUCUGACAACAGAUUCCUCAUGACCUGGCUCUCCCUCCUGGACUUGCUCUGUGCUCUACCUGCUUGCUGCCUAAGGAUGGCCCCUCUGCUGCUGCUCUCCCCUGCGAGAAGGUGCCUGCCAUCAGAUCCCUCACUACGAAAGGCCUGCAUGCUGGCGGACUCUCCAGGGCCUGCUACCGGAGACCUGCUGCUUCCUCCUGGACUUCUUCCUGGACCUACUUGGUACCUGCACUCUCUUGCUGCCCAAGACCAGCCAUGCUGCUGCUGCUGCUCUUCCCCUGUGCUUUUGCCCCGGACCAUCGGAACAUUGUGCAAUGGGACAACUGCCGGAUCCUGGUGAGCCGAGGUCUGAGAAGAUUUGUAAGUCAGUGGAAUUUCUGCUUUGGAUGAAAUAACUCACGGUUGUAAAUCUAUGUGCUAGCACACUUCUUAAGCAAGAUACAGUACAGGGAAACUACAAAUAGUGUCUACGUUCCUUCUAUGUGGCUGAGAUUAGAAGACUGUUAACAAUAGAGAGUGGGAAAUCUGGGACUGGAACGUCAAGAACAAACCGCAGAAGAAGAGAUAUGAAGAUCCCAUCGGCCUUCUUGGCAACCUGGCACCCUGCUGGCUCAUUUUCAGCAAGUUGUUGACCAGCACCUCCAGGACUAUUUCUGUCAAGCAACGUGUGAACCAGCCUUCCCCAAGCUUCGUUGUUUUGUUGCUACCCAAGUGCAGCACAUGACACUUAGCCUUGUUGAAUGUCAUUUUUAUUGGAUUUGGCCCAUUGAUCUAGUCCAUCCAGAUCCCUCUGCAAAGACUUCCUACACUAAGGGAUAUUAGCAAUCCUGACUUACUCACUGUAGUCUGUGAACUUACUGAGGAUGUACUCAAUUCUCUCAUUCUGACCAUUGAUUAAAAUGUUAAACAAAAGUGGCUUAAAGAUUGAGCCCUGUGGAAUGCCACUGAUGACAAGUUACCAACUGGACUGAACUCCAUUUGCUAGAACUCUUUGAGUCUGGCCACUCAGCCACUUCUUUGCCCAGAGAACUGUACACCUGUCCAAGCUAUGUGCAGCCAGUUCUUAUUCAGGAGAAUUCCGUGAGAAACAGUUAUACACUUUGGUCAGUCAGGACUUUCCGUUCACAAACACAAGCUGACUUGUUCUGACCACUGAAUUGUCCCUUCUUUGCUGUAUGAUGGCAUUCAAGAUGAUCAGGCCUAGACUCAGUAUAUGUAGCUCCUUCUGGCAUGAAACAGGUCCAUACAUGAUUGAAGUUAGUUGUCAUAUGCCAGUUUUGUUCAUUUCCUGAUAUUCUUUUUCUCUUCACACUUCCGUGAGAAAUUUAAACCCAAAGGAUUUCUUGAAAUACUGUUCACAUCUGAAAACUGGAAGUCAAAUAAUAAAAAUAUCCUGUUUGAUAUGAGGUCAAUCAUUAACGUAGACAAGGAAAAUUCACAGAGAAGAAUGCUCAGUAUCAAUAAAUUGUCCAAACACUUUUAUAGAAUACACAAAAGUAUUUACGGGGGGGUUAUAAGGAAACAGCAAUCAUUUCUACAGUUGAUCCAUUGUUGUAAAAACGGCCAAAAGGAACAGCUGAGUGAAUAAUUUCGUCAACAUCCUUUCCUCCCCUACACACGAACAUAACCAACUGCAGUGUGUUGAGAAAGAUACUAAUUAUUCAGCCUGUGCAGUUUUGUUUAAGACAUCUGCAAAAUGGAAAUCAAUAAAACCUGAUGUUUUGGAAAAAAGAAUGUUCUAAGCUCUUUUGAACAUUUUUUUCUAACCAUAUUAACUGUGAGUAUGCAAGUUGGCAUAUCAUAUUAGAAAUGACUGGUUAGAUCAGUGAGGAAAGUGAUCUCUGUUUUUGCAGAUUUCUACAUUUGUAAAUGCAGUUUAAAAGAAGGAUAGCAUAUAAAAUUGGAAGACUUUCUUGUUUUUUUCUAAAUUAUGAAAUGAUACAUUAAAACAUAUUUUGUGGGCGCUGUUUACUACUGGGAAGGCAUGUAAUUAUUCUUUUUUUUUUUUUUUUAAUGAAACAUUCACUAAAUAGCUGUUAUAUUGAAUAAAUAAUACAAAACACCCAGAGAGUUGUAUCACAAUUGCAAAGUAAGCAUACUUUUGAUUAUAUUGCUUUAGAAGUGAUGGGAAAUAAAAUUGCUGAUAUUUCUCAAUAAUUAUGCGUCCCAUAGGUAUUUUCUUCUCCCUAAAACAGAGGAGUAAACAAAUGCACUGAGCCAUUACAUUUCUGUAAUGACUUGCAAAAUCUACUGCUAAGAAACUUUUUGGAAAAACUGUUGGGUAAUUGAGCAUAUUAGUCUGAAUGGAGAGCUCUGAUUCAAAAGUAUUUUAGAUCCGCUUUACGUAGUUACAGUGCAAGAGUAGAGAAUUCAGGACACUUUAAAAUCUCACAAAGAGUUACUCGUGGUAGCUGUACUUCCUUUUAAUAAAGAACAUGAUUUUCAAGGUAGUUGUAAUCAAAUAUCAUGGAUGUAAUUGAAAUGAGUUUGCAGCCUUAAGAGAUUAUUACAAGAAGUACAUUUGUAAAGAUUUAAUUCAG
ensembl:lncRNA